rnacentral:rRNA from 1 species
GUGCGCGCCCCCGCGGCGCGCGUCACGCAUCAGACCUCUAAUCGGAAAAGACUACCCGCUGAGUUUAA